AGUGCUAGGGGAGCUUUUGCUGAGAUUUACCGUCACUGAUGACGGAUAGACCCUCAUCACCUGAUUCGGUUAAUGCCGGCGUAGGGAAGCAAAAAU
rnacentral:ncRNA from 1 species